rnacentral:rRNA from 1 species
GAGCGGACCGACGGGAGCUUGCUCCCUUAGGUCAGCGGCGGACGGGUGAGUAACACGUGGGUAACCUGCCUGUAAGACUGGGAUAACUCCGGGAAACCGGGGCUAAUACCGGAUGCUUGAUUGAACCGCAUGGUUCCAAUCAUAAAAGGUGGCUUUCAGCUACCACUUACUGAUGGACCCGCGGCGCAUUAGCUAGUUGGUGAGGUAACGGCUCACCAAGGCGACGAUGCGUAGCCGACCUGAGAGGGUGAUCGGCCACACUGGGACUGAGACACGGCCCAGACUCCUACGGGAGGCAGCAGUAGGGAAUCUUCCGCAAUGGACGAAAGUCUGACGGAGCAACGCCGCGUGAGUGAUGAAGGUUUUCGGAUCGUAAAACUCUGUUGUUAGGGAAGAACAAGUACCGUUCGAAUAGGGCGGCACCUUGACGGUACCUAACCAGAAAGCCACGGCUAACUACGUGCCAGCAGCCGCGGUAAUACGUAGGUGGCAAGCGUUGUCCGGAAUUAUUGGGCGUAAAGCGCGCGCAGGCGGUUUCUUAAGUCUGAUGUGAAAGCCCCCGGCUCAACCGGGGAGGGUCAUUGGAAACUGGGGAACUUGAGUGCAGAAGAGGAGAGUGGAAUUCCACGUGUAGCGGUGAAAUGCGUAGAGAUGUGGAGGAACACCAGUGGCGAAGGCGACUCUCUGGUCUGUAACUGACGCUGAGGCGCG